GAUCUGUGCUAAGCUAGGCUAGUUGGAGCCAGUUACCUCCAGGAUGUGUGCUGAGCUAGUCUAGCAGUGGGUUUGUCAGACAGAGUUAGGACACGCACAGAGAUGAGAA